rnacentral:lncRNA from 1 species
AUCAAAAUCUUUGAAAUCUGUUGGACCGAAUUGAGCCCACAACUCUUUUUUGAACUCAAUCUAGGUGAGUUCUCUUCCUUCUUCUUUGUAGUUCCGGCUCAACCAUUGCCACCACUAGUUGGCCUCCCCUUCCAGAUGUUAGGAUGUAAGAGAUACCUUGUGUGGCUCGGUGGUUCCCUGGUAAGAGAAGAACUAACCAACUCGGCACAACCACUCAGUAGGGUCUCAUUCGACAAAAACCAAAAAUUCCAACUUGGAGAGUUUAAAAUAGAAUGGGGCUCGCCGCU